UACGGAGGGGAGCUAGCGUUGUUCGGAAUUACUGGGCGUAAAGCGCACGUAGGCGGCUUUGUAAGUUAGAGGUGAAAGCCCGGGGCUCAACCCCGGAAUUGCCUUUAAGACUGCAUCGCUUGAAUCCGGGAGAGGUGAGUGGAAUUCCGAGUGUAGAGGUGAAAUUCGUAGAUAUUCGGAAGAACACCAGUGGCGAAGGCGGCUCACUGGACCGGGUAUUGACGCUGAGGUGCGAAAGCGUGGGGAGCAAACAGG
rnacentral:rRNA from 1 species